GUGGGGAAUAUUGGACAAUGGGCGAAAGCCUGAUCCAGCCAUGCCGCGUGAGUGAAGAAGGCCCUCGGGUUGUAAAGCUCUUUUGUUGGGAAAGAAAAGCCAUGGGUUAAUACCCUGUGGUUCUGACGGUACCCAAAGAAUAAGCACCGGCUAACUUCGUGCCAGCAGCCGCGGUAAUACGAAGGGUGCAAGCGUUACUCGGAAUUACUGGGCGUAAAGCGUGCGUAGGUGGUUCGUUAAGUCUGAUGUGAAAGCCCUGGGCUCAACCUGGGAAUUGCAUUGGAUACUGGCGGGCUGGAGUACGGUAGAGGGUGGCGGAAUUCCUGGUGUAGCAGUGAAAUGCGUAGAUAUCAGGAGGAACAUCCGUGGCGAAGGCGGCCACCUGGACCAGUACUGACACUGAGGCACGAAAGCGUGGGGAGCAAACAGGAUUAGAAACCCUAGUAGUCC
rnacentral:rRNA from 1 species